GGGCUUUCCUUGCUCUGUGAGGUGUUCAGAUUUAUCAGCUGCUAAAGGUGAAUCGAAAGGAGACAUCUCCAAUUCAAGGAAGUAGCAAUGGCAGUAGAUAGAGUUCCAUCGGCAAACACUGGCAGUACUGGUAAUGGCACUUCAAGUCAUACUUUGUUUCCAGUGAUUGAAAUCAUCCUCUGUUUCUUCAACAUACUGAAACUCCAAGUAGUUCUCUCAUCUCUCUACAAUUGACUGGAUCAGAGAAUUAUG
rnacentral:lncRNA from 1 species